GAUGAACCUUCUUUUCUAGACAUUGAUGUUUAUCUAGCAAUACUGAAAACUUAUAGUCAGGACAUGAUGGGUGUAAGGCAAUAUUGAUGCAUGAAAAUACCACAAUAAUAGAGAAUCGAUCAAACGUUGAGGUGUUGGAAUACCUUCAUGAAUGUGGAAUACGGAGGAUAUAUUCCAUCUGUAAGGUAAUACCCAAAUUUGUAUUUGUUUCCAUUCACUGUGAGAUGAGCAUCCGAGGCCUUUCUAUUCAAAAGAUCAUCGAAUAUUGGUGACUGAUCAAGAACGUUGAUGUCAUUGUUGGAACCCACAACCCCAAAAAAUGUUUGCCAAAUCCAUAAAUUUUGGGAAGUAACAACCUCUAAAACCAACGAAGGCGAUCCAUGAUGACCACUUUUCUUUUGGACAUUCUCAUAUAGUCGUACAUGGUGUUGCGCCUCCCCCAUAGCCAUCAAACGAAUGGCCGCAACACAUUUAUGCAACUUUGUAAAUCCUCGCCUACCUCUAGCAUCAUGUCUCAACUGGAAAAUGUAUACCUAAACAUAUAUUAACUAUGGUUUAAAAAUGUAGUACAUUUGUAUUAAAACUAAAGAAACAUGUAGUACAUUUGUAUUUAAGAUUAAAGAAACGACAUCGACUUUCCAAGGCAUUGGCAAUCCGUAGGAACACAUUCUCACUCAAACGAAAUCUGUUUUUGAAGUCCUUCGUAUACACAAUUAUCCGCAAAAUAAUAACAUCGCACGUCUUGUUAGCAGCAGAGCUGGAUCUGAUUGUAGCAUCUUGUUAGUGUAAUAAUGGUACAUCAUAGUGAAGAAUAUAUCGUAACUGUCAUCAUCGGACGAGUCGAAAGGAUCCAUAAUUUUUUUGAAGAUAAUUAAAAUUGUAAAGAGAAAGAUAGGAAUUGUGUGAAAAGUUUGUAAAUAGAUAGUAGGUAUUUAUAGGUAAAUAUAAUUAAUUUUUUUAAUGUUAUUUUUUAUUAUUAAAUUGGGCCGUUGUCAAACGGUUCAAACUGUCAAAAUUUGCUUGUUUCAUCCGGUCAUGACGACAACGAGAUGCACCGCGACGAGAUACAACGAGAAGGGGUGCAUUCAUCUCGUUAUGACGCCGUUGAGGCCAUUUCCACAUCGGGCAUAACACCGAUUUGGUGGCCUUACCGCAUCGUCUUAGUUGAGAUUGCCAAUGACCAUUUAUGAGAUUGCAUUUAAGAACUCCCCCCUCCCCAUGUGGAUUUGAGAUAUCACACUUGAGGUACUAAGCUCUUGGAAGACUAAGUUCUAAAAGCUACAACAAAGAGGUAUUCAUCUAACUUGUAUUAUGUGGCAAAUCUCUAAAUUUUAUGCUAGUUAGGGUUCAUGCUUUGGAAAAACGAAAAUUACAUGUAUAAAUUGAGAAAACUUAGAUCCAAAGCAUUAGGGUUGAAUGUACACCAUAGGAUUGUUAUAGUGCUCAAAACCCAUCUGUUUUAGUUUUGUAUUGAUCUGGUUCUUGGUGAAGCUCCGACAGCCAAGGCACCAUAUUGGUUAGCACCGCCAGAGAUGCAGGAGUUGUAUACAUAACUGUAGGAGCUAUUAGAAAAUAGGUUUAUUAUUUCGAGUAGUUCACCAUGGGGAGCACCGAUACUGUUUGUGAUGUAGAACUAUUGCUCCUAUAGGAUGUGCAUCGACUACAAGGAGAUGAACAAGUUAAUGGUGAAGAACUGAUAUCUUCUCCCGAGACUGUUGAGCUUAAAAGAUGAGCUCAGAAGCAAAAGGAAGCAGAAAAGCGAUAGAAAGCUCGGGAAUUGAAGAAAGAAAAAAAGAAAGAAAAAACCUGAAGAACUCGGUGAGUUGGGUGCCUACUCGCCGAGUAGGUUCGAAGAUUCACAAACAAAUAAGAUUCCUUACCGCAUACGGAUUUCAAGUGGGGGACUCGCCGAGUUGGUCUAUGGACUUGACGAAUAGCCCAUGUUUUCAAAAACUAUAUAAAUGGCUUUAAUUCAUGAAUUUUGGACUUCUCUCUAGAACCCUUGAAGGUUAAUUUGCAAUUCAAGUUGCCUUUGGAGAUAUGGAACUUAAAGAUCAAGUCUAAGCAUUCGAUUUUGGGGAGAUCAAGACAAUUCAAGUGUACUCUUUAUUUAAUCUUUUGUUUAAACUAUGUUUGAAUCAAUUGAUUUCGUUUUUGAGUUGUUUUCUACUUUAAUUAUGAGCUAAAAACACAUAACUAUAUUUUGUUAAUUAACCAGCAUAUUAAGUUGC